UACGAAGGGGGCGAGCGUUGUUCGGAUUUACUGGGCGUAAAGGGCGCGUAGGCGGCCUUGUCAGUCAGGCGUGAAAGCCCCGGGCUCAACCUGGGAACGGCGCUUGGGACGGCGAGGCUGGAGUUCGGGAGAGGAGAGUGGAAUUCCCAGUGUAGAGGUGAAAUUCGUAGAUAUUGGGAAGAACACUGGUGGCGAAGGCGGCUCUCUGGACCGACACUGACGCUGAGGCGCGAAAGCGUGGGGAGCAAACAGG
rnacentral:rRNA from 1 species